rnacentral:rRNA from 1 species
GACGAACGCUGGCGGCGUGCUUAAUACAUGCAAGUCGAACGGAAAGGCCCGGCUCUUGUGGGGUGCUCGAGUGGCGAACGGGUGAGUAACACGUGAGUAACCUGCCCCUGACUUUGGGAUAACUUCAGGAAACUGGGGCUAAUACCGGAUAGGAGCUCCUGCUGCAUGGUGGGGGUUGGAAAGUUUCGGCGGUUGGGGAUGGACUCGCGGCUUAUCAGCUUGUUGGUGGGGUAGGGGAUUACCAGGGCUUUCACGGGUAGCCGGCCUGGGAGGGUAGCCGGCCACCUUGCGACUGCGUUACGGCCCAGACGCGUACGGGAGGCAGCAGUGGGGAAAAUUACACAAUGCGCGGAAGCCUGAUGCGGAAACGCCCCGUGCGGGAAGACGGCCUUCGGGUUGUAAACCGCUUUCUCCUGUAACGAACCGUGAGUGACGGUAAUGAAUAAAGAAGCACCGGCUAACUACGUG